rnacentral:rRNA from 1 species
UACGAAGGGGGCUAGCGUUGUUCGGAAUCACUGGGCGUAAAGCGCACGUAGGCGGAUUGUUAAGUCAGGGGUGAAAUCCCGAGGCUCAACCUCGGAACUGCCUCUGAUACUGGCAAUCUUGGAGUCCGGGAGAGGUGAGUGGAAUUCCGAGUGUAGAGGUGAAAUUCGUAGAUAUUCGGAAGAACACCAGUGGCGAAGGCGGCUCACUGGCCCGGUACUGACGCUGAGGUGCGAAAGCGUGGGGAGCAAACAGG